rnacentral:rRNA from 1 species
GUAGGUGGCAAGCGUUGUCCGGAAUUAUUGGGCGUAAAGCGCGCGCAGGCGGUUCUUUAAGUCUGAUGUGAAAGCCCACGGCUCAACCGUGGAGGGUCAUUGGAAACUGGAGAACUUGAGUACAGAAGAGGAAAGCGGAAUUCCACGUGUAGCGGUGAAAUGCGUAGAGAUGUGGAGGAACACCAGUGGCGAAGGCGGCUUUCUGGUCUGUAACUGACGCUGAGGCGCGAAAGCGUGGGGAGCAAACAGGGAUUAGAUACCCUGGUAGUCCACGCCGUAAACGAUGAGUGCUAAGUGUUAGGGGGGGUUUCCGCCCCCCUUAGUGCUGCAGCUAACGCAUUAAGCACUCCGCCUGGGGAGUACGGCCGCAAGGCUG